AAGCCUUGAGCUAACGCACGUACAUCACGACGCUUCGACGACGACAACAACAACAACAACAACAACAACAACUGUCAUAGCUACAACGACAACAACAAGUUACAUGGAACUUCAGCAGGGACUUGGCCAAUACCUCAACAUGCUCCGCUGGAUCUCUCUCCCACUCGCGCACACAACUACACAAAAAUAACUAAUAGAAAAACAACAUGAGAAUAACAAAGAAAUAAAUAACAAAUAUUCAGAAAAUACAAAAAUAAAAUAAAAGCGCUUAUGAAAUCAAAUGAAGACUGAUAUGUAUGAAAUGUGUAACAAGUGAUAUUCAAACUUGAGCCGAAUCGUGGAUUAGUGCAGACAAAUGUUUUAUGCAAAUCGCGUUUGCCUCAAAACGCCCAACAAUAGCAAUAACAACAACCUCGACAACAACAGCAACCUCAGCAACAACAACCACAAC